CCCUUAGAUGUUCUGGGCAGCACGCGCGCUACAAUGGUCAUCGCAAACGGAUGCAUUCUCGAAGGAGAAUGCCAAUCUUGGAAUCUAUGCCUUGGUCGGGACAGUUGCUUGCAAUUUUUCGACUCGAACCAGGAAUUCCUUGUAAUCGUGAUUCAUCACAUCACGAUGAAUACGUCCCUGCCCUUUGUACACACCGCCCGUCGCUCCUACCGAUCGAAGAGUUAGGUGAAUUGUUUUGAUCGAUAAGAUUUGACUAUGGUCAACUCUCGUUGUGAAAUUCUGUGAAUCUGACUGUUUAGAGGAAGGAAAAGUCGUAACA
rnacentral:rRNA from 1 species